rnacentral:rRNA from 1 species
GCUUGUCUCAAAGAUUAAGCCAUGCAUGUCUUAGUGUAAAUAACUCUUAUGAAACUGCGAAUGGCUCAUUAAAUCAGUUAUCGUUUAUUUGAUGGUCCCUUACUACAUGGAUAACCGUAGUAAUUCUAGAGCUAAUACAUGCACAAAGGCCCGACUCACGAAGGGCUGUAUUUAUUAGAUUUAAAGCCGACAUCUUUUGGUGAUUCAUAAUAACUUUUCGAACCUCAUGCCUUUAUGGUGGAGGUGAUUCAUUCAAAUUUCUGCCCUAUCAACUUUCGAUGGUAGUCGCCGUGCCUACCAUGGUGACCACGGGUGACGGGGAAUCAGGGUUCGAUUCCGGAGAGGGAGCCUGAGAAACGGCUACCACAUCCAAGGAAGGCAGCAGG